AUUUGUAAUUAUAAAAAAAACAGACACGCCCGAUCCCCUCUGAUCUCGGAAGCUAAGCAGGGUCGGGCCUGGUUAGUGCUUGGAUGGGAGACCACCUAGAAAGACCAGGUGCUGUAGAAA
rnacentral:rRNA from 1 species